GCGGCUGUGGCGGAAUUGGUAGACGCUCAGCGUUGAGGUCGCUGUGGAUUAACCUCCGUGGAAGUUCGAGUCUUCUCAGCCGCACCA
rnacentral:tRNA from 1 species